rnacentral:lncRNA from 1 species
UAAAUAAUCCCGGUCAUAGGUUACUCGAGAGGGACAUCGUGAUAACCGGACAGAUUGGUGUGCUGUAUACCCGUCCAUAUGAUGGAUGCAGCUGGUCUCAUAGCUGCUUGUGUAGGGACACUAGGGAUACAGUACAGGUGCUCAUUGGAGAAUGAGUUCACUGAUUGAUCCGCUUACGGAAUGUUGGAUGGUUGAUGAUGUCUUAUUGUCAGACAGCGAUUCCGUAGUCCUAGUGGUGUAUCUGGUUCUUAGACUUGAGACACCAAGGAUGUCCUGUAUGAGUGCUCCACUCUUUGAUACCAGACUUAUAGGUUUGGCUGU